GACGAACGCUGGCGGCGUGCUUAACACAUGCAAGUCGAACGGAAAGGCCCUGCUUUUGUUGGGUGCUCGAGCGGCGAACGGGUGAGUAACACGUGAGUAACCUGCCCUUUACUUUGGGAUAACUUCAGGAAACUGGGGCUAAUACCGGAUAGGAGCUCCUGCUGCAUGUUGGGGGUUGGAAAGUUUCGGCGGUUGGGGAUGGACUCGCGGCUUAUCAGCUUGUUGGUGGGGUAGUGGCUUACCAAGGCUUUGACGGGUAGCCGGCAUGAGAGGGUGACCGGACACAUUGGGACUGAGAUACGGACCAGAAUCCUACGGGAGGCAGCAGUGGGGAAUAUUGCACAAUGGGCGGAAGCCUGAUGCAGCAACGCCGCGUGCGGGAUGACGGCCUUCGGGUUGUAAACCGAUUUCGCCUGUGACGAAGAGUGAGUGACGGUAAUGGGUAAAGAAGCACCGGCUAACUACGUG
rnacentral:rRNA from 1 species